rnacentral:rRNA from 1 species
AGGUGGUGCAUGGUUGUCGUCAGCUCGUGUCGUGAGAUGUUGGGUUAAGUCCCGCAACGAGCGCAACCCUCGACCUUAGUUGCCAGCAUUCAGUUGGGCACUCUAAGGUGACUGCCGGCUAAAAGUCGGAGGAAGGUGGGGAUGACGUCAAAUCAUCAUGCCCCUUAUGACCUGGGCUACACACGUGCUACAAUGGGCGGUACAAAGGGUCGCGAACCCGCGAGGGGAGCCAAUCCCACAAAGCCGGUCGUAGUCCGGAUCGCAGUCUGCAACUCGACUGCGUGAAGUCGGAAUCGCUAGUAAUCGCGGAUCAGCAUGUCGCGGUGAAUACGUUCCCGGGUCUU